rnacentral:rRNA from 1 species
UACGUAGGGGCCGAGCGUUGUCCGGAGUUAUUGGGCGUAAAGCGCGCGCAGGCGGCCUCGCGCGCCCGACGUGAAAGCCCCCGGCUUAACCGGGGAGGGUCGUUUGGGGACGGCGGGGCUUGAGGGCGGGAGAGGGUGGUGGAAUUCCCGGUGUAGUGGUGAAAUGCGUAGAGAUCGGGAGGAACACCCGUGGCGAAGGCGGCCACCUGGGCCGACCCUGACGCUGAGGCGCGAAGGCGUGGGGAGCGAACGGG